AUCGAUGAAGAACGCAGCGAAAUGCGAUAAGUAGUGUGAAUUGCAGAAUUCAGUGAAUCAUCGAAUCUUUGAACGCACAUUGCGCCUUCUGGUAUUCCGGGAGGCAUGCCUGUUCGAGAGUCAUUAACAACCAUCUCGAAUCCCUUUCUUUUCCGUAUCCGGAGGGUGGGGGGGAAUCGGUGUUGGUGGUGGAGGGAAUGGAGUUUGUUGAGCUUGCCCACUAUAUGUUUGGCAAAUCUCUCCUCCCCACUGAAAUUUGGUGGUGGGAUACUUGGGUUUUGGUGGGAUUUGAGGGGAUAUGAUGACCUUGAUGAUCUUCUUCCCCUCGCUUUCUGAAAUUCGCACAUUGAGUUUCUUAACCCAGUCAGCUGUCCCCCAUAAUAACAUCAAUCAUAUCCAAAGGUUGACCUCGGAUCAGGUAGGGAUACCCGCUGAACUUAAGCAUAUCAAUAAGCGGAGGAAAAGAAACCAACCGGGAUUGCCUCAGUAACUGCGAGUGAAGUGGCAAAAGCUCAAAUUUGAAAUCCGGUGCCUCUUGGUGCCUGAGUUGUAAUUUGGAGAGACAAAUUUGUUUGAUGGCGCCGGCCUAGGUUCCUUUGAACAGGACAACAUAGAGGGUGAGAAUCCCGUUCCUGGCCGGAUGUUCCGUCAUAUAUCUAAAUUGUCUUCGACGAGUCGAGUUGUUUGGGAAUGCAGCUCAAAAUGGGUGGUAAAUGUCAUCUAAAGCUAAAUAUUGGCGAGAGACCGAUAGCGCACAAGUAGAGUGAUCGAAAGAUGAAAAGCACUUUGAAAAGAGAGUCAAAAAGUACGUGAAAUUGCUGAAAGGGAAGCGCUUGAGACCAGACUCGAACCGUGGUGAUCAGCCGUGCUUCUGUGCGGUGUCACUUGCCACGGUUUGGGCCAGCAUCGGUUCUGGCGGUCGGAUAAAAGGUGGAGGAAUGUAGCUUCCUUCUGGGAGUGUUAAUUUAGCCACCACCACAAUGCGGCCAGCCGGGACCGAGGACCGCGCCUUCUUUGGCUAGGAUGCUGGCGUAAUGGUCUUAAGCGACCCGUCUUGAAACACGG
rnacentral:rRNA from 1 species